rnacentral:rRNA from 1 species
GACGAACCGUGCGAACGUUGUUCGGAUUCACUGGGCAUAAAGGGCGCGUAGGCGGAUGGUCAAGUCGGGGGUGAAAUCUUUCAGCUUAACUGGAAAAGUGCCUCCGAUACUGAUCGUCUCGAGGGAGGUAGGGGCAUGUGGAACUUCCGGUGGAGCGGUGAAAUGCGUAGAUAUCGGAAGGAACGCCGGUGGCGAAAGCGACGUGCUGGGACCUCUUCUGACGCUGAGGCGCGAAAGCUAGGGGAGCAAACGGG